GGUAGCAAGGCCUUCCCCCACAUCAAGUGCAUCGUGCUUGAUCUCCCACACGUGAUCGCAGGGGCGCCUGCCAUCGAAAACGUCCAGUUUGUCGCCGGCGAUUUGUUUGAGUACGUGCCACCGGCCGACGUUAUUCUGCUCAAGUGGGUUAUGUGCUUGUGGCAAGACGAAGAUGCCAUCAAGGUGCUACGACGGUCGACGGUGCAAAGAACCGGUAGAAGCGCCGGGGGGAAGGUGAUAAUCAUCGACGUCGUGAUAGGCUCCGGGGUGUCGCGGGACGAAGUUCUUCUUAGGGAGAUGCAGGUUCUAUAUGAUGUCUUCAUGAUGCGCGUUGACGGGACGGAUCGAGACGAGCAUCAGUGGAGGAAGAUCUUCUUUGAGGCCGGCUUCAAGGACUACAAGAUCACUCCGAUGCUUGGAUAUCGGUCCAUCAUUGAAGUCUACCCUUGA
rnacentral:rRNA from 1 species